rnacentral:rRNA from 1 species
UACGGGGGGGGCAAGCGUUGUUCGGAAUUACUGGGCGUAAAGGGCUCGUAGGCGGCCAACUAAGUCCGACGUGAAAUCCCAAGGCUUAACCCUGGAACUGCGUCGGAUACUGGAUGGCUUGAAUUCGGGAGAGGGAUGCAGAAUUCCAGGUGUAGCGGUGAAAUGCGUAGAUAUCUGGAGGAAUACCGGUGGCGAAGGCGGCAUCCUGGACCGACAUUGACGCUGAUGAGCGAAAGCUAGGGGAGCAAACGGG